GAGGGUAUAGCUCAGUGAUAGAGUGUGUGCUUGGCAUGCACAAGAUCCUGGGUUCAAUGCCCAUUAUCUCCA
rnacentral:tRNA from 1 species